CCGGGGCUAAUACCGGAUGGUUGUUUGAACCGCAUGGUUCAGACAUAAAAGGUGGCUUCGGCUACCACUUACAGAUGGACCCGCGGCGCAUUAGCUAGUUGGUGAGGUAACGGCUCACCAAGGCAACGAUGCGUAGCCGACCUGAGAGGGUGAUCGGCCACACUGGGACUGAGACACGGCCCAGACUCCUACGGGAGGCAGCAGUAGGGAAUCUUCCGCAAUGGACGAAAGUCUGACGGAGCAACGCCGCGUGAGUGAUGAAGGUUUUCGGAUCGUAAAGCUCUGUUGUUAGGGAAGAACAAGUGCCGUUCAAAUAGGGCGGCACCUUGACGGUACCUAACCAGAAAGCCACGGCUAACUACGUGCCAGCAGCCGCGGUAAUACGUAGGUGGCAAGCGUUGUCCGGAAUUAUUGGGCGUAAAGGGCUCGCAGGCGGUUUCUUAAGUCUGAUGUGAAAGCCCCCGGCUCAACCGGGGAGGGUCAUUGGAAACUGGGGAACUUGAGUGCAGAAGAGGAGAGUGGAAUUCCACGUGUAGCGGUGAAAUGCGUAGAGAUGUGGAGGAACACCAGUGGCGAAGGCGACUCUCUGGUCUGUAACUGACGCUGAGGAGCGAAAGCGUGGGGAGCGAACAGGAUUAGAUACCCUGGUAGUCCACGCCGUAAACGAUGAGUGCUAAGUGUUAGGGGGUUUCCGCCCCUUAGUGCUGCAGCUAACGCAUUAAGCACUCCGCCUGGGGAGUACGGUCGCAAGACUGAAACUCAAAGGAAUUGACGGGGGCCCGCACAAGCGGUGGAGCAUGUGGUUUAAUUCGAAGCAACGCGAAGAACCUUACCAGGUCUUGACAUCCUCUGACAAUCCUAGAGAUAGGACGUCCCCUUCGGGGGCAGAGUGACAGGUGGUGCAUGGUUGUCGUCAGCUCGUGUCGUGAGAUGUUGGGUUAAGUCCCGCAACGAGCGCAACCCUUGAUCUUAGUUGCCAGCAUUCAGUUGGGCACUCUAAGGUGACUGCCGGUGACAAACCGGAGGAAGGUGGGGAUGACGUCAAAUCAUCAUGCCCCUUAUGACCUG
rnacentral:rRNA from 1 species